rnacentral:rRNA from 1 species
AUUCCUACGGGAGGCAGCAGUGGGGAAUCUUGCACAAUGGAGGAAACUCUGAUGCAGCGAUGCCGCGUGAGUGAAGAAGGCCUUUGGGUUGUAAAGCUCUUUUGUAGGGGAAGAUAAUGACAGUACCUAGAGAAUAAGCUCCGGCUAACUCCGUGCCAGCAGCCGCGGUAAUAAU